rnacentral:rRNA from 1 species
CCUACGGGCGGCAGCAGUGGGGGAUAUUGCACAAUGGGGGAAACCCUGAUGCAGCGACGCCGCGUGGGUGAAGAAGCGCCUCGGCGCGUAAAGCCCUGUCAGCAGGGAAGAAAAUGACGGUACCUGAAGAAGAAGCCCCGGCUAACUACGUGCCAGCAGCCGCGGUAAUACGUAGGGGGCAAGCGUUAUCCGGAUUUACGGGGUGUAAAGGGGGCGCAGACGGCGAUGCAAGCCAGGAGUGAAAGCCCGGGGCCCAACCCCGGGACUGCUCUUGCAACCGCGUGGCUAGAGUGCAGGAGGGGCAGGCGGAAUUCCUGGUGUAGCGGUGAAAUGCGUAGAUAUCAGGAGGAACACCGGUGGCGAAGGCGGCCUGCUGGACUGCAACUGACGUUGAGGCCCGAAAGCGUGGGGAGCAAACAGGAUUAGAUACCCUUGUAGUC